AAACCAAGUUUACAGUGCUGAAGAUAAAAGAGCCCUUGCAAUGUAUAACUAUGAAGAAAAAGCCAAACGUGAGCGGAAGGUGAUGGAUGAUCUUCAGCGGCUUGUUCAGCGCCACAUAGGUCAUGAUGUUGGCCCUUCACAUGAUCCUUUUGCUGCAUAACCUCAUUUGGCGCCAUAUUGAAAUGUGUAUGUAAUCAUAUUCUUAAGGUAGGAAGAAAU
rnacentral:misc_RNA from 1 species